CCUACGGGGGGCAGCAGUAGGGAAUAUUGCUCAAUGGGGGAAACCCUGAAGCAGCAACGCCGCGUGGAGGAUGAAGGUUUUCGGAUUGUAAACUCCUGUUGUUAGAGAAGAUAAUGACGGUAUCUAACGAAUAAGCACCGGCUAACUCCGUGCCAGCAGCCGCGGUAAUACGGAGGGUGCAAGCGUUACUCGGAAUCACUGGGCGUAAAGAGCGCGUAGGCGGGAUAGCAAGUCAGAUGUGAAAUCCUAUGGCUUAACCAUAGAACUGCAUUUGAAACUGUUAUUCUAGAGUAUGUGAGAGGUAGGUGGAAUUCUUGGUGUAGGGGUAAAAUCCGUAGAGAUAAAGAGGAAUACUCAUUGCGAAGGCGACCUGCUAGAACAUAACCGACGCUGAGGUACGAAGGCCAGGGGAGCGAAAGGGAUUAGAUACCCGGGUAGUC
rnacentral:rRNA from 1 species